rnacentral:rRNA from 1 species
UACGGAGGGUGCAAGCGUUAUCCGGAUUCACUGGGUUUAAAGGGUGCGUAGGCGGGUUGGUAAGUCCGUGGGGGAAUCUCCGAGCUUAACUCGGAAACUGCCGUGGAUACUAUCAAUCUUGAAUGUCGUGGAGGUAAGCGGAAUAUGUCAUGUAGCGGUGAAAUGCUUAGAUAUGGCAUAGAACACCAAUUGCGUAGGCAGCUUACUACACGAUUAUUGACGCUGAGGCACGAAAGCGUGGGGAGCAAACAGG